rnacentral:rRNA from 1 species
AAAAACAUGUCUUUUUGUUUUUGAUUUAAAGUCUGACCUGCCCAAUGAUUGAUAUUUAAUGGCUGCAGUAUUUUAACUGUACAAAGGUAGCAUAAUCAUUAGUUUCUUAAUUAGGAGCUGGAAUGAAUGGUUUGAUGAAAAAUUUACUGUCUCAAUUUAAUUGUUUUAGAAUUUUAUUUUUAAGUGAAAAAGCUUAAAUUUUUUAAGAAGACGAGAAGACCCUAUAGAGUUUUACAUGUUUAAGGUUGUUUUUUUUAUGAUUUUAUUAGAUUUAAUUUUUUGAUGUGUUUUGUUGGGGUGAUGAGAAAAUUUUUUUAACUUUUCUUUAUUUUUACACUAAUUAGUGAUUUAAUGAUCCUUUAUUAAGAUUAUAAGAUUAAAUUACCUUAGGGAUAACAGCGUAAUUUUUUUUGAAAGUUCUUAUUGAUAAAAAAGUUUGCGACCUCGAUGUUGGAUUAAAGUUUAUUGACGGUGUAGAAGCUGUUGAAUUAGGUCUGUUCGACC